UACGAUGAAGAGUUUGAUCCUGGCUCAGGAUGAACGCUAGCGGCAGGCUUAACACAUGCAAGUCGAGGGGUAUAGUUCUUCGGAACUAGAGACCGGCGCACGGGUGCGUAACGCGUAUGCAAUCUACCUUUUACAGAGGGAUAGCCCAGAGAAAUUUGGAUUAAUACCUCAUAGUAUGUGAGAAUGGCAUCAUUUUCACAUUAAAGUCACAACGGUAAAAGAUGAGCAUGCGUCCCAUUAGCUAGUUGGUAAGGUAACGGCUUACCAAGGCUACGAUGGGUAGGGGUCCUGAGAGGGAGAUCCCCCACACUGGUACUGAGACACGG
rnacentral:rRNA from 1 species